CUGCACUGACAGGGACAUGCCACGCGAGCAGUCGUGUGUGGAGGCCUUCGGACGUGCUUGCAAGCACGGAGUCUGCUUCAGUGUCUCCGUGCCGACGUAGUGGGACGCUAAAGGUCCCGUUAUGAGACAGUGCCGUUAAUUCUGCAAGAAGGCAGUAGCAGUCAUCAGAGUUCCUGUGUGGUGUCGUACACCAGCCUUAUGUGGACAGCAGACAGGCAAAUUGGCAAGAGGCAAGCAACUCGUAGCAUGACCGGCUAUACACACGAGGCUGCGGUGCAUGUAAGGAUCCACGAAUUGCUGACAGCCUCCUCCUUUUCUUCCUCUGCAAGGGAUCAUCAGUUCCCACCUGCGGUGAUGCCAUCUACUGAUGCUUGUGCUGCUUUGCCUCGGACCGAGAAUGUGCCGCAGUUCCAAGCUUGAGUCGCGUCGCAGGUGUAUUGCCGCCUUCGAAGGCUGUCUCCCUGACAAGCAUAGCGGCUUCAACCGCGCGGAACGUGUCGAAGGUCAUCAUCAGAGGCGUUGCAGACAGGGCACACUGGCGAGACCCACGAGAUCGUCGCAGCGCGUGCUUCUUUCAAAUGUGUCGGUCGGAACCUAGCAAGCCACGUCUGUCAUAGCCUGUCCACGUCUACAGUCAGCAACGCCUGCCAGUGGUAACACGCUUGCCCACAACGUCCAAAGGACCAAGGGUGUGCCAAGAGCAAGAGUACGGUCCUCCUUCGUAGGCGAGUUCCAGCCUCCGCUGCGCAAGAGGUGUGAAGAUAGAGACCCAAGUACGGGGCCAACACUCCAUUGUCAGACAGUCCUUUGUCGGAAAACGAAGAUACCGACAUGGUGGAGGCGCGACCUUCACUUGACUGGGCCAAGCUGCUUGCCAAGAGAGAUGAUGAGGAAAAGAUACGCCGGGAAGAUUUUUCGCAACCCGGGAACAUUUUUGGCGCCGAGGAUCCCGAUGUUGAACAUGUGACUGCUGAGAAGGUGGGUGAAUUCAGGUCAGCCAACAACGACGGAGUUCUCAAAGGUCCGGGAGCGCAGGAACUUCCACGCCCAGGCAUGACAACCAACCCCGUGCCAUCAUUGGACGAGGCAUUUGCAAGGUAUCCAGAAAUCUCGGACCGAGUUUGUAGGAAGAAAUUCAAGAAACCGUCUCCGACGCACAACCACGCCUUGCCAAUCCUGCUUCAAGGUAACGACCUGAUUAGUGUCGCACAGACGGUUGGAAGCAGGACUAUUGGCUGCAUCUUACCAGCUGCCUUGGAUCUAGCUGCCAGCCACGUUCAUCAAAGAGAGGGAUGGUAAAGCCCAUCCUGUCUCGUCUUGGCCCCAACACGCGAACUAGACCAGCAAAUAGAGAGAGAAACGAAGAAAUACCGCUACCGAGGGGCAAAAUCCGUGUGCAUUUACAGUGACGGCAGUCGGCGGGUGCAGACUGACGCACUCAAGCAAGGUGCCUAGCGCGACUCCUGACCGACUCAACGACCUGCCCAUGAACAAGGUCAACGACCUGCCCAUGAACAAGGUCAUCGACCUGACACACGUCACAUUUCUUAUUACAGAUGAAGCGGAUCGCACACGCUUUGAUGACGCUGACAUUUAGGUGGAGAUUAAGAAGGUGAUGUUAGAAGACAUCAGGCCAGACUGUCAGACAGUGAUAGACAUAACCGCCGUGCCCACUCCAGCCGGAAAUCUUUGUUUCGCUUGUACUUCUUCGCCACAAGACCUUUCCCUGCGCUUCCUUACUUGCCUUUACUAUUUGUUAUAAUUUCCGCUUGUUUAUUUUUCAUAUUUUGUGUGACCAUUGUGCUUUCUUAUUAAUUUUACAAGUUAUUUAUUGCCUACCUCCUCCGCUCGCAGUGAUUCCUAAUGACGGUGUACGUAUAAAUCUAAAUAUUAUUUAAAUAAUUAAAAGAAAGAAAAUGGGA